rnacentral:rRNA from 1 species
AUUGAACGCUGGCGGCAUGCUUUACACAUGCAAGUCGAACGGCAGCGCGGGCUUCGGCCUGGCGGCGAGUGGCGAACGGGUGAGUAAUACAUCGGAACGUGCCCAGUAGUGGGGGAUAGCUCGGCGAAAGCCGGAUUAAUACCGCAUACGACCCGAGGGUGAAAGCGGGGGAUCUUCGGACCUCGCGCUAUUGGAGCGGCCGAUGGCAGAUUAGCUAGUUGGUGGGGUAAAGGCCUACCAAGGCGACGAUCUGUAGCUGGUCUGAGAGGACGACCAGCCACACUGGGACUUAGACACGGCCCAGACUCCUACGGGAGGCAGCAGUGGGGAAUUUUGGACAAUGGGCGAAAGCCUGAUCCAGCAAUGCCGCGUGUGUGAUGAAGGCCUUCGGGUUGUAAAGCACUUUUGGCGGGAACGAAAAGGACUGUGCCAAUACCACGGUUCGAUGACGGUACCCGCAGAAUAAGCACCGGCUAACUACGUG